UGCUCCAGGGUCCCCACUGCACCCUGUGUGCCCUAGCACUUCCCAGACUCCUCCCGGCCCUGCGUCCACAGGGCUCCUGAACCCCUUGGACAGCCCCCACCACAUGCGUCAGGACGAGGAAUCUGAGUUCCGAGAGGGCAUCGUGGUGGAUCGGCCCACCCGGCCAGGCCACGGCUCCUUUGUCAACUGUGGCAUGAAAAAGGAGGUGAAGAUUGACAAAAACCUGGAGCCUGGGCUUCGGGUGACCGUGCGACUGAACCAGCAGCAGCUCCCAGACUGCAAGACCUACCGUGGCAAAGUGGUAUCAUCACAGGACCCUCGCACCAAAGCUGGUCUCUACUGGGGCUACACCGUCCGACUGGCUUCCUGCCUCAGUGCUGUGUUUGCUGAGGCCCCCUUCCAGGAUGGGUAUGACCUGACCAUCGGGACAUCAGAGCGCGGCUCAGAUGUGGCCUCUGCCCAGCUUCCCAACUUCAGGCAUGCUCUUGUGGUGUUCGGGGGCCUCCAGGGUCUGGAAGCUGGAGUGGAUGCUGACCCCAACCUGGAGGUGGCUGAACCCAGUGUCCUCUUUGACCUGUACGUCAAUACCUGUCCUGGCCAGGGUAGCCGUACCAUCCGCACAGAGGAAGCCAUCCUCAUCUCCCUGGCCGCCCUGCAGCCU
rnacentral:sRNA from 1 species